AUUUAACGCUGGCGGCAGGCUUAACACAUGCAAGUCGAGCGGGGGAGGUUGCUUCGGUAACUGACCUAGCGGCGGACGGGUGAGUAAUGCUUAGGAAUCUGCCAUUUAGUGGGGGACAACAUUCCGAAAGGAAUGCUAAUACCGCAUACGUCCUACGGGAGAAAGCAGGGGAUCUUCGGACCUUGCGCUAAAUGAUGAGCCUAAGUCGGAUUAGCUAGUUGGUGGGGUAAAGGCCUACCAAGGCGACGAUCUGUAGCGGGUCUGAGAGGAUGAUCCGCCACACUGGGACUGGUACACGGCGCAGACUCCUACGGGAGGCAGCAGUGGGGAAUAAUGGACAAUGGGCGGAGGCCUGAGCUAGCCAAGCCGCGUGUGUGAAGAAGGCCUUAUGGUUGUAAAGCACUUUAAGCGAGGAGGAGGCUACCUAGAUUAAUACUCUAGGAUAGUGGACGUUACUCGCAGAAUAAGCACCGGCUAACUCUGUGCCAGCCGCCGCAGUAACAC
rnacentral:rRNA from 1 species